AGCCUUUGAUUUCCUUGUGAUGUUCUUUUCACAAAGGAAAUUUGGUCAGUAGGGCAGUGUGUGUGUGUGUGUAGCGGCCGAGUCGAGGCGGCCAAAGGCUUUUAGCCGAAAGCGGUGCGGUCAAGAAAGGGAGGGAGGCCGACGAAAUCAAGGCGUUUUUCUGAUUGCGGACAGGAUUGGGUUGUUGAUUAGCAGCUUCUAGCAGUGGAGGAAUAUGUGGAUGGGGUUUUUCUUUUCUUUUUUGAGGGAGAAGGACAUGUGGGUGUUAUUAUGCUAUCUGUACGCAAUGAGUGUCUACCCGUUCUGAAUUAGCAAGGCGUUUUCUUUUAUGCUGUUUUUAGAAUAUGUUUUCUUUUUCUCCAAGCUACGCUUUUAUGCUUUUAUUGAGCUGUCUUUGGUCUGAAUUUUGGAGGUUUUUUCAUUGGUCUUACGUCGGGAACAAAAAUGCGACCACUUUGUAAGUUAAUUUGCUUGACACUGUUAGUAAAUAAUAUAUAGCUUUGUGC
rnacentral:lncRNA from 1 species